rnacentral:rRNA from 1 species
CUGUGACCGUGGCGGUGUAGGUGGAAGCAGCGGUGGAGGAGGAGGAUGAGGUAGCCAACACUGUUUUUUAUAUAUAUAUAUAUAUAUAUAUUUUUAUUUUUUUUCAAUUGGGGUAGCACCAAAAUAUUGGGACAUAAAAAAAAAGACAACUCUGUUCUGCAGAGUAGCUGUUGACAUUAUAGUUGCGCAGGCACUUUGUUGUCUCUAGAGAACCUCUGGCCAAUCGCACAUCCCCGUGAUGGCGACUUUGCAUUCAGAUGUCAUCCAUAUCAACUUUCGAUGCCAGUUUCUGUGCCUACCAUGGUGACCACAGGUAAUGGGGAAUCAUGGUUCCAUUCCAUACAGGGACCCUGAAAAACAGCUACCACAUGCAAGGAAGGCAGCAGGCACGCAAAUGACCCACUCCCGACGCUGGAAGUUAGUGACGACAAAUAACAAUACAGGACUCUCUAGAGGCCCUGUAAUUGUAAUGAGUCCACUUGAAAUUCUUUAACUCUGAUCAAUUGGAGGGAAGUCUGGUGCAGAGCCACUGACCCAUGCGUGCUGCAGCUGAAACUCCACU